rnacentral:rRNA from 1 species
UACGUAGGGUGCAAGCGUUGUCCGGAAUUAUUGGGCGUAAAGAGCUCGUAGGCGGUUUGUCGCGUCUGCUGUGAAAACCCGAGGCUCAACCUCGGGCCUGCAGUGGGUACGGGCAAACUAGAAUUCGGUAGGGGAGACUGGAAUUCCUGGUGUAGCGGUGAAAUGCGCAGAUAUCAGGAGGAACACCGGUGGCGAAGGCGGGUCUCUGGGCCGAUACUGACGCUGAGGAGCGAAAGCGUGGGGAGCGAACAGG